rnacentral:rRNA from 1 species
AAUCAACGCUGGCGGCGCGCCUAACACAUGCAAGUCGAACGAGAAAGCAGGAGCAAUCUUGUGAGUAAAGUGGCGUACGGGUGACUAACACGUGGAUUAUCUACCCUCUUGUGGGGGAUAACCCUGGGAAACCGGGGCUAAUACCGCAUAAGUCCGAGAGGAGAAAGCAGCAAUGCGCAGGAGGAGGAGUCCGCGGCCGAUUAGCUAGUUGGUAGGGUAAGAGCCUACCAAGGCAACGAUCGGUAGCCGGCCUGAGAGGGCACACGGCCACACUGGCACUGAAACACGGGCCAGACUCCUACGGGAGGCAGCAGUGGGGAAUCUUGCACAAUGGGGGCAACCCUGAUGCAGCGACGCCGCGUGAACGAUGAAGCCC